AUAUUGGGCAAUGGAGGCAACUCUGACCCAGCCAUCCCGCGUGCAGGAUGAAGGAUCUAUGGUUCGUAAACUGCUUUUAUCAGGGAAGAAAAAGACUCAUUUAUGAGUAACUGACGGUACCUGAUGAAUAAGCACCGGCUAACUCCGUGCCAGCAGCCGCGGUAAUACGGAGGGUGCAAGCGUUAUCCGGAUUCACUGGGUUUAAAGGGUGCGUAGGCGGCCUUAUAAGUCAGUGGUGAAAGCCCAUCGCUCAACGAUGGAACUGCCAUUGAUACUGUAAGGCUUGAGUACAGACGAGGUAGGCGGAAUUGAUGGUGUAGCGGUGAAAUGCAUAGAUACCAUCAAGAACACCGAUUGCGUAGGCAGCUUACUAGGCUGUAACUGACGCUGAGGCACGAAAGCGUGGGGAGCGAACAGG
rnacentral:rRNA from 1 species